CCUGUCUCUAGGGGUGUUUCAGUUGUGGCUGCUAUAUCCCAGUAUGUCAGUAGGUGGCAGAGAGGAGAGAAGCUAUGUCUAAGCUCAGUGUUCUGACAUGUAAACAUCUGAAUGAUUAUUUUCCUAACAUU